rnacentral:rRNA from 1 species
CCUGAUGCAGCCAUGCCGGUGUGUGAAGAAGGCCUUCGGGUUGUUAAGCACUUUUAGUAGGGAGGAAGGGGUUAUGUUUACGCAUCAACAAUGACGUUACCUACAGAAGAAGCACCGGCUACUCCGUGCCAGCAGCCGCGGUAUACGGAGGGUAGCGUUAAUCGGAAUUACUGGGGUUAAGGCACAGGCGGUUAGAUAAGUUCAGAUGAAAUCCCCGGGGCUCACUGGGAACUGCAUUUGAAACUGU